AACGAACGCUGGCGGCAGGCCUAACACAUGCAAGUCGAGCGAGGACUUCGGUUCUAGCGGCGGACGGGUGAGUAACGCGUGGGAAUGUGCCCUUCUCUACGGGAUAGCCCUGGGAAACUGGGAGUAAUACCGUAUACGCCCUAUUGGGGAAAGAUUUAUCGGAGAAGGAUCAGCCCGCGUUGGAUUAGGUAGUUGGUGGGGUAAUGGCCUACCAAGCCGACGAUCCAUAGCUGGUUUGAGAGGAUGAUCAGCCACACUGGGACUGAGACACGGCCCAGACUCCUACGGGAGGCAGCAGUGGGGAAUCUUAGACAAUGGGGGCAACCCUGAUCUAGCCAUGCCGCGUGAGUGAUGAAGGCCUUAGGGUUGUAAAGCUCUUUCAGCUGGGAAGAUAAUGACGGUACCAGCAGAAGAAGCCCCGGCUAACUCCGUG
rnacentral:rRNA from 1 species